UCUCUGCAGGGAAAGGACCAGCCCUGAGACAGAGCGGGGAGUCCGAGGCUGCAGCCACAGUCUAUGCCCAAAUCGAUGACGGGAAGCAGCUGGAUGUCCUG